CAAGUCGAACGAGAAAGCUUUUUUCGAAGAGUGAGUACAGUGGCGAACGGGUGAGUAACACGUUGGUGACCUGCCCCGAGGUGGGGAAUAACUGUGGGAAACCACGGCUAAUACCCCGGAUGUUAAAGAGUUUAGACAUCUUUAACUAAAGUUCCGGCGCCUCGGGAGGGGCCUGCGGGCUAUCAGCUUGUUGGUGGGGUAACGGCCUACCAAGGCUAAGACGGCUAGGGGGCGUGAGAGCGCGACCCCCCACAAUGGAACUGAGAAACGGUCCAUACUCCUACGGGAGGCAGCAGUGAGGAAUAUUGCACAAUGGGGGAAACCCUGAUGCAGCAACGCCGCGUGAACGAUGAAGGCCUUCGGGUUGUAAAGUUCUUUUCUGGGGGACGAUAGUGACGGUACCUCAGAAAUAAGUCCCGGCUAACUACGUGCCAGCAGCCGCGGUAAAACGUAGGGGGCGAGCGUUAUCCGGAUUUAUUGGGCGUAAAGCGCAAGUAGGCAGCGUUGUAAGUUGGACGUGAAAGCUCCCGGCUCAACUGGGAGAGGUCGUUCAAAACUACAGUGCUCGAGGUUGGAAGAGGAGAGUAGAAUUCCCGGUGUAGUGGUGGAAUGCGUAGAUAUCGGGAGGAAUACCAGUGGCGAAAGCGACUCUCUGGUCCACACCUGACGCUGAGGUGCGAAAGCGUGGGUAGCGAACGGGAUUAGAUACCCCGGUAGUCCACGCCGUANACGAUGGAUACUAGGUGUAGGGGGUCACUGAAUCCCUCUGUGCCGUAGCAAACGCGUUAAGUAUCCCGCCUGGGGACUACGGCCGCAAGGUUAAAACUCAAAGGAAUUGACGGGGGCCCGCACAAGCAGCGGAGCGUGUG
rnacentral:rRNA from 1 species